rnacentral:lncRNA from 1 species
AAGGCGAUUCAGAUCUCAUGGUUACUUUUCAAUGUUUUUCUUGCUACGGAUGUCUCUUUUCAUUGGAUAAAUGAAGCAAUGCCCCCUUUCUGAAGCGUUUCGGAAGACAUGAAUAUUGUCUAUAUCCUAUAUGUUCAUACAGACAGUUGUAAUUAAUAUUUUUCACCCGAGGUGCUGACAUAGUGUAUCUUUGCCUUCUUUAUUUAGGUCUUCUGAUCACCUACGUUGCCUUGAAUCUUAUGGAUGGGCACGGGCAACCGGCUCUUCUUUACAUCGUGCCCUUCACGCUCGGUAAGGAAACCACGCCUUUGUGUCCGCCACUAAAUUCCAUAUCGCCAGAUUCUUGAGCACGUGCCUUGAACAAAACCGCCGUGUCCACCGCAGGAACUUUCAUAUUGCUCGGUAAAAAGCGGGGCGAGCUCAGGAACCUCUGGAUGAAAGGACAGCCUCCGAGAGUCUGCACGCAUUCGCAUCAUCCUCUGAAGGACUCCACGGACUCCGCUUCUCAUGUAAUCUCAUCAUAGGUAGCGGCUCCCCGAAUGCUGCAUCGUAGGGCAAUGGUUCCUUGUCUGGAGGUGAAAGCACGGCUCCGCGGAUCUGUUGUGUGACCCUGUUCCGUGGGUGUAGUAGCAUCUAAUAUGGAUCUGUUGUCAUUAGAACCAAUCCAUUAGAAUUGUAUAUAGAUAGAGCCUUGUCGUUUGCUUCUCUUGUUGUUGUUUCAUCUACCUGUGUACCUGGAGAGUAGUACCUCCUUUCCGGUUUGUUUGAAAGGCCCCUGUGUAUCCCUAGAACGACAAUUUGACCGACAUAAUGGAAGUUAUAUGUUAUAAAAAAUAUCGCUACAAAUGCUAUAUUUUCCUAAUGGUAUAAAUGUUGUAUAUGCAGUUAAUUAAUUGGUAAAAGUGAUGACGCGCGGAAACUAAAAACCGGAAUGGAUGGAGUAUUGCCUCCCAUCGAAAGAGACCAAAAGAGAAUUAUUUGACAUGGCAUACAUCAGGAAAUUUUGUCCAAAAAGAUUCAACCAGUAUAUCCAUGUUGACUUGAGAGAGAGGUACCUAGGUUGAGCUGCUGUCUCGUAGACUCUCGUGUGGCGGCUGAGACUGGGAACGGGAGGGCUGCUGUCUCGUAGCACUCACGAGGAGACUCUCGUGUGGCGGCUGAGACUGGGAACGGAGGGCUGGAUGCCUGCUUCUAGGCCAGUCCCUUCACAUGGGCUUGGGCCCUAAAAGAUAAGAGGAUGAGUUUGGGCCCAUACUGGUUCAACACUCCCUCUCAAGAUGGGUGGUAGAUAUCUAUCAUUCCCUUCUUGUCACACGCUAAGUCACAGUCCUUUAUUUCCAGUCCCUUUGUCAAGCAAUAUGUAUAUUGUUGCCCAGAGCUGACAUGAGUAAGGCUGAUGAUCCCAACAUCAAGUUUCUCUUUAAUGAAGAAGCGGUCAAUUUUCGCAUGCUUUGUCCUAUCAUGUUGAACUGGGUUAUAGCAAUGGCUAUAGCUGACCCUCAGAAGUUUUAACUCGCUCAGUAGGAACUUCAUCUAGAGUAUCUCACACAACCCUUGAGAUAAUGCUCUAUACUCAGCUUUUGCUGUUGAUCUAGACACAACCGGUUGUUUCUUGCUUCUCCAUGACAUCAAAUUCCCUCCCAUAAACACGCAACAGUGAGAAGUUGAUCUUAUAUCAUAUUGACAACUAGCCCAAUCAGAGUCACUAUAGCCAUUCACCUCAAGAUUUCCACUCUUUCCAAACCACAACCCUUUAUCCAGAGUCCCCUUCAAGUAUCUCAUGAUUUUGUGCACAAUAUCAAGAUGCCCACUCCUUGGUUCAUGCAUGUAUCUGUUCACCACCCCCACGGCAUAUGUAAUGUCAGGCCUGGUAUGACAUAACUACAACAACCCCCAGUGUCGGUGUUUACUCACAAAAUAUGUCAUGAGUAGGCUAAAGAUGGUGGGAACCGAGAUGACACCGGAGGGCGCUGGGGACGAGGUUGGUACAAGCAUGGAAGGCACGAUGUACCCAGGUUUAGGGCUCUCCGUAGAGAUAACACCCCUAAUCUUGCCGGAAUGUAUAAUGCACCAAGGUGGCUACAAUGUGCUCCCGGAGCUGUUCUACGGAGGAGGAAGAAGGAGCUUCCGGCUCGCGUCUACCUCUCCUAUAUGGGUGUGUGAGUGUUGGAUUGACCGACCCUUGCAUGGAGGGGGUCGGGGGGUUUUGACGAACCCACCGACCUACAAUAAGGAUAAAAGUACAUGAGUGGGACUCGGCUGGCAGCUUCGCCGGCUGGCCAGGGGGCCCACAAUGGUCUUGUCUUGUCGCUGGAGGGCCCCGCCGUCUAUGAGGUCCUAUCUGGCUAUGGGACCAGUCGGCUAGCCAGUGAGGCUCUUGCGUAGAGCCGACGCAGGACACGUGUCGUACGUCCGACGUCGUCUUGCGAGAUUCGUCAUGGCUCGCCAGUACGGCCGUCUCCACUGUUCCCACGCCGAGUGUUAUAAUGGAGUGGGUGUUCGAUGGCCUGAGACUGUGCACGAUUGACGGAUCGGAGCCGGGGUAGGUCAGCGGCAUGGCCGCUGACACUUUGCCUGCCGUGUGCUCCAAUCUUGUACCUUGGCUGACGCGUAUUCACCUUUAACCGUAGGGCAUCGUCAUGACCUACGAUCUCAUGUGACUUGUGCUCCCUAGCCGUCUAGCCGCCUCACUAGCCGUCCUGGGAACGACUGUCUCGCCUCUAGCCGACCGGCAUGGCUCAAACGGCCAGAGGGAGGUAGCCGUCUCGUCCCUAGCCGGCAGGAGCUUCCUAGCCGGCCAGGGAGAUUCGGUCGUCUCGCCCCUAGCCGGCAGGAGCUUCCUAGCCGGCCAGGGGGAUUGGGCCGCGUAGAAUGAGUUGUGCUUUUCCUCCAAGGUAGAAGGCAAAGGAGUAGGCUCGAUGAGCCUACCCCGGGGUUAUCCCCCCAUCACCCAAGCAAUUUCUGAUAAUCUUCCUUAUUCACUAGCUCUCCUGAUUGUGCUGUAACUUGGUGAUUUUGUUCAAUCGGAGUAGGGGCAGCACGACAUCCCAUCAUGCCCAUGUCACUCAAGAGAUCCAAGGUGUAUUUUCGUUGGCACAUAUAGAUUUCCUUCUCUGUCUGGGCCACUUCAAUACCAAGGAAGUAUUUUAGGUUACCCAAAUCCUUUACCUCGAACUCCUUGCUCAGACAACCCUUCAAUCUCUCUAUUACCUCCUUAUCAUCUCCAGUGGUGAUAAUGCCAUCCACGCAAACAACAAGAAUGGUGGUCUGCCAAGCAGAGUGCUUAUAGAACAUGGUGUGGUCCCCGUUCCACUGACCAUACCCCAUACCACGGACGACACGUCUGAACCUAUCAAACCAUGCCCUUGGUGAUUGCUUCAGUCCAUACAAGGAUUUCUUCAGCCUGCAUACCUCCCCGUAGUCUCUGAAGUACUAAAACCAGGUGGUAUCUCCAUGUACACUUCUUCCUGUAACUCACCAUGCAAGAAGGCAUUCUUGACAUCUAAUUGAUGAAACUUCCACCCAAAAUUAGCAGCACAAGAGACCAAUAUCCUCACUGUGUUCAUCUUUGCCACAGGAGAAAACGUCUCAUCAUAGUAAAUUUCAUAAGUUUGACUAUAGCCUCUGGUGACCAAUCUGGCCUUAUACCGUUUCACCUCCCCCUCAGGAUUCUGCUUCAGUGUAUAGAUCCACAUACAACUCAAUGCUUUCUUUUCUAUCGGUAAUGUGGUUAGCACCCACGUCUUGUUUUUCCUCAGUACUUCCAACUCUUCUACCAUCGCUUACGCUACUUUGGAUCUUGCUUUGCAGCAUUCCAAUCCUUUGGAAUUGACACAGUUUGUAAGGAGGCAACACACGCCUUAUAUGAAGGUGACAAAGUCUUAUAAGACACAAAAUUCCCAAUAUUAAGAUCAUCAGAAGCAUCAUCCUUUGGUAGAGCCUUCCUUGCUACUUCACCCUUUCUUGUCGCUUCACGUGUAGACUUUCACAACGCAAUGGGCAGCUGCACUGCGUGAGAUGAGCUUGCCUCACUCCCUUGUUGCUCCCCCUGCACUCUUGCUUCACCGCCUUGUUGCUCCCCCUGCACUCUUGCCUCACUGCCUUGUUGCUCCCCCUGCAUGUGUGGUUGCCGUCAAGAGUACACCAAGGUAUUGUGACAGCCCGAGACCGACGCUCCAGAAGAUUUCCCUUUUGUUCCAUUGUCGCCCUGUGAUUAUUUGUUUGUUACAUUCAUCAUGUCAUCAUGCCAUCAUGUCAUUAAAUUUUUCUGCACCCAAAUAAAUAAAUUGCAUGGAUCUUGGAUCUAUUUAAAUUGAGGGAUUCACAUGAUGAUUCUCUUUAUAACAUAUCCUCCUAAUAUUUUAGGGAGCUACUUUAAAAUAUUCCAUUAUUUUGGAAUCACCCAUGAACAGACUUACAUUUUAAAUCCCAUGCUUUUCUACUCCUAGUUUGGUCCCCGAACCUUGCGGUCAUUCUAUCAUCUUUUUCCCAAGCUCCUCCUAGAUUAACAACAUUUUUGGACCUUCCAAUGCCCACUUCUUAUUCAAACUCAUUUGAGUUUAAUUCAAAUAAGUUCGAAUUAAAACUUCAUUCAUGCUCAUUUCUAUAUUUCUUGGGUCAAGCUCAUUUUGUGAGUCCAAGAAAAUAAUCCCCAUGUCUAAAUUCUUUCCUAACCCUCUCUUUCUUCUCUUCAUUCAACAUUUUGUUUUGUUUUUUUUCUUAAAUCAGUGGAGAGAGAGAGGCCCACCCCACCUGAAGGCCACCUAUCUUACCUGUUGAUGCAGCCCAGUUAGCCCAGUGAUACGUCUCUGAUACGUCUCCAUCGUAUCUACUUUUCCAAACUCUUUUGCCCUUGUUUUGGACUCUAAUUUGCAUGAUUUGAAUGGAAGUAACCCGGACUGACGCUGUUUUUAGCAGAAUUGCCAUGGUGUUGUUUUUGUGCAGAAAUGAAAGUUCUCGGAACGUCUUGAAAAUUUACGGAGAAUAUUUCUGGAAAAUAUGAAAAAUACCUGCGCAAAGAUCCACCGGAGGGGACGGGCCAGUGGGCCACAAGCCCUGUAGCCGCGGCCUCCCCCUGGUCACGGCUACCAGGCUUGUGGGGCCCACGUGGCUCUGCCGCCCCUAAUUCCAGCGCUAUUUAUUCCCUUUCAUCCCGGAAAAAUUCAAGAGAGAAGAGUUCAUCGCGUUUCACGAUCCAGAGGCGCCGCCACAUCCCGUUCUUGCCCUCGAGGGCAGAUCUGGAGUCCGUUUUGGGCUUCAGAUCAAGGAGAUCGUCACCAUCGUCAUCAUCAACCUUCUUCCCUCUCCAAUUCCAUGAAGCUCUUCAUCGUUCGUGAGUAAUCUAUUCGUAGACUCGCUGGGCGGUGAUGAGUAGGAUGAGAUCUAUCAUGUAAUCGAGUUAGUUUUGACGGGGAUUGAUCCCUAGUAUCCAUUAUGUUCUGAGAUUGAUGUUGCUACUACUUUGCCAUGCUUAAUGCUUGUCACUAGGGCCCGAGUGCCAUGAAUUCAGAUCUGAAAUUAUUAUGUUGUCACCAAUAUAUGUGUGUUUUAGAUCCGAUCUUGCAAGUUGUAGUUACCUACUAUGUGUUAUGAUCCGACAACCCCGGAGUGACAAUAACCGGAACCACUCCCGGUGAUGACCAUAGUUUGAGGAGUUCAUGUGUUCACCAAGUGCUAAUGCGUUGGUCUGGUUCUUUAUUAAAAGGAGAACCUUAAUAUCCCGUAGUAUCCAUUUGGACCCCGGUGCCACGGGAGGGAUGGACAAUAGAUGUCAUGCAAGUUCUUUUCCCUAAGCACAUAUGACUACACACGGAAUGCAUGCCUCUAUCACAUUGACGAACGGGAGCUAGUCACAUAUCUCUCCGUGUUAUUACUGUUGCAUGAUGAAUGUCAUCCAACAAAUCACCGAUCCAUUGCCUAUGAGUUUGUCCCACUGCCACUGUUACUUGCUCUGCCGUCACUACUGUUGCUACUACUGUUACUUGCUAUUGCUGUUACUUGCUACUGCUGCUACUUGCUACUGUUGUCACUAUUGUUGUUCCUUGUCACUGUUGUUACUCAUUACACUGCUACUACCUGCUACAAUACUUUUCUGGCGCCAUUGAUACUUCAGUUAGGAAUAAUCCGCCGUCAACAGAUUCUUUCCUAGCACCGUUGCUAUCAUACUACCUUUGCUGCUUAUACCCUGCUUGCAGAUACUAAUCUUUCAGGUGUGGUUGAGCCGACAACUCAACUGCUAAUACUGGAGAAUAUCCUUUCACUCCCAUCAUGUCAAACCAACAAAUUUGGGUUGAAUACUCUACCCUCGGAAACUGCCGCGAUCCCACACGCUGGUGGGCCAUUGCAAGACAAUUGCUAAUUGUUGAGCAACUGGAAGCAGCUAUUUUCUGGCGCCGUUGCCGGGGAGGAUAGCUAUAUUCUCUGAGUCACUUGGGAUUUAUAUCUGCUGAUCACUAUGAAGAAUCUAAAAGAUCCAAGAACCAAAGUCUUGCCCUCAACUACGAGGGGAGGUAAGGAACUGCCAUCUAGCUCUGCACUUGAUUCACCUUCAGUUAUGAGUAAGUUUGCGACACCACCUCCUACUAGAAAUCUUGAUAUGUCGCCUGUGCUAGAUGAUGGUAGAGAUGCUACUCUAUUGAUGAUGAUUAUGAUGCUACUAUGCCUGAUACUGCGAGAGAUGCUACUGCUAUUGAUGAUGCUUAUGAUGCUACUAUGCCUGAUACUGCUAGAGAUGCUAUGUCUGAUACUGCUAGAGAUGCUAUGCUUGAUACUGCUUUGCCUGAUGAUGCUAGAGAUGCUAUUUUGCCUGAUGAUGCUAUGCUUGAUACUGCUAGAGAUACUACUUUGCCUGAUGUGCCACUAGGGGUAUUCCUUGAUGCUCAAAUUGCUAGAGUUACUGCCAAUGCUCGUGAUGCUUCUGAAACUGCCGAUACUAUUGAGAUAGAACCUGCUUUUGCUCCUGCUAGAUCUAGCUCUCCUAGAUAUGAAUUGCCUGAUAUACCUGAGGGUUAUGUUAUGGAGGGAGAUAUAGCUGAGGAUUUUCUUGCGUGUAAGGAUGCCUAUGACGCUGAGAAAUUAAUUCUCAAGUGGAAGGAAAAAUCUCUGAAAGCUAGGAUGAAAUACGACCCGAAGUUUGCCACUUCACCUGUCUUUAUCACCGAUGAGGAUUAUGAAUUCUCUGUCGACCCUGAGAUAAUCUCUCUAGUCGAAUAUGAUCCUUUCCAUAGUUAUGAGUCUGAGACAGUCGUAGCCCAUCUUACCAAACUACACGAUAUAGCCACCCUUUUCACUAGUGAGGAGAAGAUCCGCUACUACUAUAUCCUUAAGCUGUUUCCUUUAUCUAUAAAGGAUGACGCUAAAGCCUGGUUCACUUCUCUUGCUCUUGGAUGUGUGAGUAGUCGCCAGGAUAUGGUCUAUUACUUCUGUGAGAAAUAUUUCCCUGCCCAUAAGAAGCAAGCUGCCUUGCAGGAAAUAUACAACUUUGCUCAACUCAAAGAAGAGAGUCUCCCACAAGCUUGGGGGAGGCUCAUCCAGCUACAGAAUGCUUUUCCUGAUCACCCUCUUAAGAAGAACGAGAUACUUGAUAUCUUCUAUAACGGACUUACCGAUGCUUCUAGGGACCACCUAGAUAGUUGUGCCGGUUGUGUUUUUAGGGAACGAACUAUAGAACAAGCUGAGAUUCUACUGAAUAACAUCUUGAUCAACGAUAAUGCUUGGACUAUUACCGAACCACCUCCUAAGCCAACUCCUAAGAAAAGAGGUAUUCUAUUCCUCAGUCCCGAAGAUAUGCAAGAAGCCAAGAAAUCUAUGCAAGAGAAAGGCAUUAGAUUCGAAGAAGUCAAAAAUCUACCGCCCAUCGAAGAGAUCCGUGGUCUCGAUAACCCGAUACAAGUAGUAGAGGUGAAUUCUCUGCGUAGAUUCAAUGAGAGUGAUAUUCCUUUUGACAAACCUGCUAGCCUAUGCUUUGAUGAAUUUGACAACUUUGUUGCCAAACAACAGAGUUUCAAUGAUUAUGUUAGCAGACAAUUGGAACAAAGUACUCGCAUGCUUAGUCAUUUAAGUGCUUGUGUAGAUAGAAAUGUCAAUGAUCUGAAGCUUCUGAGUAAACAUGCCUCUAUGAUUACUACUCAGGUAGAACAAGUACUUAAAGCUCAGAAUGACUUGCUCAAUGAAUUAAAUGACAACUCUGUCAGAGUCAUUACUGGAGGAGGCAAAAUGACCCAGGAACCUUUGUAUCCUGAAGGCCAUCCUAAGAGAAUUGAUCAAGAUUCUCAAGGAAUUAAUGCUGAUACACCCAGUCAUCCUAAGAAUAAGAAGAAGGAUGAUAGAAACCUAUAUGUCAGUUCACCAAAUACUAUCACACCUAAAGAACCAAAUGAUAUUUCUGCGUCUGAUGCAGAAACACAAUCUGGUGAUGAACAUGAAUCUGGUGACAAUAUGGACAGCGAUGUUCAUAAUAAUGCUCAACCUAGCAAUGAGAAGGAUGUGGAGAUUGAACCUACGGUUAAUCCUGAUAACCCACAACCUAAGAGAUAUGAUAAGAAUGACUUCACUGCUAGGAAGAAUGGUAAAAAAAGGGAGCCAUGGGUUCAGAGACCCAUGCCCUUUCCUCCUAAGCCAUCCAAGAAAAAGGAUGAUGAGGAUUUUGAACGCUUUAUUGAAAUGUUGAGACCCGUCUUUCUGCAGAUGUAGUUAAUUGAUAUGCUCAAAAUGUCUCCAUAUGCCAAGUACAUGAAAGAUAUCGUGACUAAUAAACGGAAGAUACCAGAUCUUGAGAUCUCCACCAUGCUCGCUAAUUACACUUUCAAAGGUGGAACUCCUAAGAAACUUGGUGACCCCGGAGUGCCCACUAUACCUUGCUCCAUUAAAGGAAACUACGUAAGAAAUGCCUUAUGUGACCUUGGAGCCGGUGUUAGUGUUAUGCCUCUCUCUCUUUAUCAUAGACUUGAACUGGAUAAGUUGACACCCACUGAAAUCUCUCUGCAAAUGGCCGACAAAUCAACUGCUUUCCCUGUCGGCAUUUGCGAGGAUGUGCCUGUUGUGGUUGCUAACACCACUAUCUUAACAGACUUUGUUAUCUUGGAUAUUCCUGAGGAUGAUGCCAUGGCUGUCAUCCUCGGAAGACCCUUUUUAAACACUGCAGGGGCUGUUAUAGAUUGCAACAAAGGCAAUGUCACCUUCCAUGUCAACGGUAAUGAGCAUACAAUGCACUUUCCGAAGAAACGAUAUCAAGUACAUUGCAUCAAUGCUAUCGAAAAAAGUUCAUCGAUUCUUAUUGGGAGCUUUGAAUGCCCUAUUCCUCGUGUUAAGAUGAAGUAUGAUUUGCUUGUUGGGGAGAUUCAUAUCCCCAUUGAGGUGACUUAGUGGCUAGUCGACUAUUCUCCGUUUCUUUUUGCGAUUUGAAGAAGUUUUGUCAUGAGGAUUUGAUCAACCCCAUUGACGGAUUUCUUUCGAUGACCAUGAAAUGGAUGAAUCAAAGAGUCACAUACCUUUGUUUUAAGCUUUCACUUUUUGUUGCUUAGAAGAAAAAUGAUAGAUUUAGUUUAGUUUUUCCAGUUUUCUGUUUUAGCGUCCCGGAGAAAAGUACCCCAAAAAUAAAAGUUCUUCGAUGGUCCUGAAAAUCAAAUAUGAUUUUUUCUGGAUUUUUUGAAAAAUACUGGGACUGAGAGCUGGCCUGGGGGCCACACCAGUGGGCCACAAGCCCUGUAGCCGCGACCUCCCCCUGGCCGCGGCUACCAAGCUUGUGGGCCCCACAGGGACCCCCUACACUCAUUCCAGCUCCCAUCCUCUUCUUCUACCUCCAGAAAAAAUCGUUUCGCAGCUCAAAACUGUGUUCUUGCUCAUUUGGCUGUGAUUUUUGAUCUCCUUGCUCAAAGCACCAUUCUCCGAACCGUUUUGGGGAAAUUACUCCUUGGUAAGUGACUCCUCCAUUGGUCCCAUUAGUUUCUACUCUAGUGCUUUAUCCUUCGCGUAUUCUUGCUACCUUGGUGACCCUGUUCUUGAGCUUGAAAUGUUGAUUUUAGCUGGUCCCAAGUAGUUUUAGCGCGUGAUACGGUCUCUAGGCACUAGUAGGAGUAGUUGCUACGAGUUGGGUUAAUCCUUACUCACUUUUAUUUCAAAGUCUCUAAAAAUUUCAGAAUUUUUUCAGAGUUAGAAAAGAGAAAAUAUGAGGAGGUUCUUGAGAGGCUCUUCAAGCCGUAAUCCCAAGGAGGAUGAGAAGAACCACCCCAAGUACGUGGUUCCUCGAGUCACAGAAGUUCGAGCGUGCGAGUGGCCAAGUGAUGAAUUUUUGCGCGCCGCUGGGCUUAUGAAGACUUUUAUUACUUGGUGGAGAACGUAGGUCUUACCGCAUUCGUUGAAGAUAAGUGCCCACAAUACCUCCUCCUCACCAAUAUUUUCGUUCAAAGCUUCAACUUUUAUCCGAGGAAGAAUCCUCCUAUGGUUGAGUUCAUGUUAUACGAUAUCCCCCAGCACAUGAUGCUACUGCGACAACAGACCUUCCCUGGCAACGACGCUACGAAUCCUGUGUUGGAAUUAUGCCCUAGAGGCAAUAAUAAAUAUAGUUAUUAUUAUAAUUCCUGUAUCAAGAUAAUCGUUUAUUAUCCAUGCUAUAAUUGUAUUGAAUGAAGACUCAUUUACAUGUGUGGAUACAUAGACAAAACACUGUCCUUAGCAAGCCUCUAGUUGGCUAGCCAGUUGAUCAAAGAUAGUCAGUGUCUUCUGAUUAUGAACAAGGUGUUGUUGCUUGAUAACUGGAUCACGUCAUUAGGAGAAUCACGUGAUGGACUAGACCCAAACUAAUAGACGUAGCAUGUUGAUCGUGUCAUUUUGUUGCUACUGUUUUCUGCGUGUCAAGUAUUUGUUCCUAUGACCAUGAGAUCAUAUAACUCACUAACACCGAAGGAAUACUUUGUGUGUAUCAAACGUCGCAACGUAACUGGGUGACUAUAAAGAUGCUCUACUGGUAUCUCCGAAGGUGUUCGUUGAGUUAGUAUGGAUCAAGACUGGGAUUUGUCACUCCGUGUGACGGAGAGGUAUCUCGGGGCCCACUCGGUAAUACAACAUCACACACAAGCCUUGCAAGCAAUGUAACUUAGUAUAAGUUGCGGGAUCUUGUAUUACGGAACGAGUAAAGAGACUUGCCGGUAAACGAGAUUGAAAUAGGUAUGCGGAUACUGACGAUCGAAUCUCGGGCAAGUAACAUACCGAAGGACAAAGGGAAUGACAUACGGGAUUAUAUGAAUCCUUGGCACCGAGGUUCAAACGAUAAGAUCUUUGUAGAAUAUGUAGGAUCCAAUAUGGGCAUCCAGGUCCCGCUAUUGGAUAUUGACCGAGGAGUCUCUCGGGUCAUGUCUACAUGGUUCUCGAACCCGCAGGGUCUGCACACUUAAGGUUCGACGUUGUUUUAUGCGUAUUUGAGUUAUAUGGUUGGUUACCGAAUGUUGUUCGGAGUCCCGGAUGAGAUCACGGACAUCACGAGGGUUUUCGGAAUGGUCCGGAAACGAAGAUAGAUAUAUAGGAUGACCUCAUUUGAUUACCGGAAGGUUUUCGGAGUUACUGGGAAUGUACCGGGAANAAUGUACCGGGAAUGACGAAUGGGUUCCGGGAGUUCACCGGGGGGGGGGGGCAACCCACCCUGGGGAAGCCCAUAUGCCUUGAGGGUGGCGCACCAGCCCUUAGUGGGCUGGUGGGACAGCCCAAAAGGGCCCUAUGCGCAUUGGAAGAAAAAUCAAAGAGAAAAAAAAGGAGGAGGUGGGAAAGGAAAGAAGGACUCCACCCACCAAACCAAGUAGGACUCGGUUUGGGGGGGGGGGGAGUCCUUCCCCCCUUUGGCUCGGCCGACCCCCUUGGGGCUCCUUGAGCCCCAAGGCAAGGUCCCCCCUCUCCCACCUAUAUAUACGGAGGUUUUAGGGCUGAUUUGAGACGACUUUUUCACGGCAGCCCGACCACAUACCUCCACGGUUUUUCCUCUAGAUCGCGUUUCUGCGGAGCUCGGGCAGAGCCCUGCUGAGACGAGAUCAUCACCAACCUCCGGAGCGCCGUCACGCAGCCAGAGAACUCUUCUACCUCUCCGUCUCUCUUGCUGGAUCAAGAAGGCCGAGAUCAUCGUCGAGCUGUACGUGUGCUGAACGCGGAGGUGCCGUCCGUUCGGCACUAGAUCGUGGGACUGAUCGCGGGAUAGUUCGCGGGGCGGAUCGAGGGACGUGAGGAUGUUCCACUACAUCAACCGCGUUCACUAACGCUUCUGCUGUACGGUCUACAAGGGUACGUAGAUCACUCAUCUCCUCUCGUAGAUGGACAUCACCAUGAUAGAUCUUCGUGCGCGUAGGAAAAGUUUUGUUUCCCAUGCGACGCUCCCCAACAUCCUGCUGCUACGGCUACGCCUGUAGGGACUUCCUUAUCAAAUAUGCAAAGGAUUUCCCCGCGGCCUUGGAGCCUUGCGUUGGUGUUCCCUUGAAGAGGAAAGGGUGAUGUAGCACAGCGGCGGUAAGUAUUUCCCUCAGUUUGAGAACCAAGGUAUCAAUCUAGUAGGAGGAGAGCUCAAGUCACAAGUACCUGCACAAACACAACGAGCUUGCACCCAACGCUAUGAAGGGGUUGUCAAUCCCUUAUAGAUUGUUUGCAAAGUGAGAACUGAAAGCAAAGAGAAAACAAAGCAAAGUAAAGGUGAAAGUGGAAACGAUAGUUGUGAAUAGACCCCGGGGCCGUAGUGUUCACUAGUGGCUUCUGUCAUGAAAGCAAGUAGAUGGUGGGUGAACAAAUUACUGUUGAGCAAUUGAUAGAACCGCGCAAAGUCGUGACGUUAUCUAAGGCAAUGAUUAUAUCUAUAGGCAUCACGUCCAAAACAAGUAGACCGAUACUUUCUGCAUCUACUACUAUUACUCCACAUGUCGACCGCUAUCCAGCAUGCAUCUAGUGUAUUAAGUUCAAAAGAACAGAGUAACACCUUAAGCAAGAUGACAUGAUGUAGAUGGACAAUCUCAUAUCUACGAUAAAAGCCCAUCUUGUUACCCUUGAUGGCAACAACACGAUGCGUGCCUUGCUGCCCCUUCUGUCACUGGGAAAGGUCACCACACGACAUGAACCCAAAACCAAGCACUUCUCCCAUUGCAAGAAUCAUAGAUCUAGUUGGCCAAACAAAACCCAAGACUCGGACAGACUUACAAGGAUAUCAAAUCAUGCAAAUAAUAAAUCAACAAAGACUCAAAUAUAUUUCAUAGAUAAUCUCAUCACAAAUCCACAAUUCAUCGAAUCUCGAUAGACACACAUCGAAAGAAGAUUACAUCGGAUAGAUCUCCAUGAAGAUCAUGGAGAACUUUGUAUUGAAGAUCCAAGAGAGAGAAGAAGCCAUCUAGCUACUAACUACGGACCCGUAGGUCUAAAGUGGACUACUCACGAGUCAUUGGAGAGUCGAUGAUGUUGAUGUAGAAGCCCUCCAACUCCAAAGUCCCCUCCGGCAGCGCACCGGGAAGGGUCUCCAGAUGAGAUCUCUCGGAAACGGAAGCUUGCGGCGGCGGAAAAGUGUUUUCGUGGAUGCCCUGAUUUUUUCUGGAUUUUUAGGAAAUUUAUAGGCCAAAGAGCUAGGGCAGGGGAGCGCAAGGGAGGCCACAAGCCUGGUUGCCGCGCCCCCUGCCCGCGGCAACAGGGCUUGUGGGCUCCCUGUGGGCCCUCUGCCUUGGCCCUCACGUCCCCCGAUCUUCUUCUGUUCUGGAAAAAUUUAUUUCGGGGAUUUUAUUCCGUUUGGACUCCGUUCGAAAAUCAGAUCUGAAAAGAGUCAAAAACACAGAAAAAACAGGAACUGGCACUUGGCACUGAAUUAAUAAGUUAGUCCCAAAAAAGAUAUAAAAGGUAUACAAAACAUCCAAAGUUGACAAGAUAACAUCAUGAAACCAUAAAAAAUUAUAGAUACGUUUGAGACGUAUCAAGCAUCCCCAAGCUUAACUCCUGCUCGUCCUCGAGUAGGGAAGUGAUAAAGAAUGAAUUUUUGAUGCUUUCAUGCUACCUAGCAUAGAUGUCCUUUGUAACUCCUCUUAUAUGACGUGAAUGUUCAGAUCCAUUAGAUUCAAAACAAUAGUUUGCUAUUGACGUGGAGACAAUAAUACUUCAAGCAAACUAGCAAGGUAAUCAUGAAAUUUCAAAAUAACAAGGCCAAAAGAAAGUUAUCCCUACAAAAUCGUAUAGUCUGGUUAUGCUCUAUCAUCCUUGCACAACGAAUUUAAAUCAUGCACAACCCCAGUAUUGGCCAAGUAAUUGUUUUCACACCUUUACUUUCUCAAACCUUUUCAACUUUCACGCAAUACAUGAGCGUGAGCCAUGGUUUUAGCACUAAAAGUGGUGUGGAGUGCGGUGGAGGUUGCAAGACAAACAAGGAGAAGAUGGUCACAUUGACUAGGCAUAUCAAUGAGCUAUAGAGAUGCUCAUCAAUAGAUAUCAACGUGAAUGAGUAGGGAUUGCCAUACAAAUGAUGCACUAGAGCUAAGAGUAUGUGAAAGCUCUUAAAGAAAACUAGUGGGUGUGCAUCCAACUUGCUUGCUCACGAAAACCUAAGGCAAUUUUAAGGAAGCCUAUCAUUGGAAUAUACAAGCCAAGUUAUAUAAUGAAAAUUCCCACUAGCUAUAAGGUGGUGACAAAACGAGAGACUCUCAAUCAUGAAGAUCAUGGUGCUUACAAGCACAAGUGUGGAAAGAUAGUAGCAUUGUCCCUUCUCUCUUUUUCUCUCAUUUUUUUGGUAGGCUCUUUGGCCUUAUAUAUAUAUAUAUUUAUUAUUAUUUUUUGGUGGGCAUCUUUGGCCUCUUUUUGUAAAUGGGCUUCGCUGGCCUCUUUUAUUUCCUCACAUGGGACAAUGCUCCAUCAAUGAUGAUCAUCACACUUACAACUCAAAACUUAGAGCAAUGAUGACUCUAUAUGGAAUGCCUUCGGUAGUGUACCGUGACAAUGAUCUAGCAUGGCAUAGACAUCUAUGAGAACAUCAUGCUAGCUAUCUUAUGAUCAUGCAAUGGCAAUGUAGAAGUGGUGGCACAUGUCAUGGUGGUAGUUGCAUGGCAAUAUAUCUCGGAAUGGCUUUGAAAAAGCCAUAGUAGGUAGGUAUGGUGGCUGUUUUGAGGGAGGCUAAUGGUGGGUUUUGUGCACCGGCGAAAGUUGCACGACACUAAAGAAGAUAGUGAUGGUGGAAGGUGAAAGUGCAUCUAAACCAUGUACUCAACAUUAGUCAUGAAGAACUCAUAUACUUGUUGCAAAAGUUUUAGUAGUAAUCGAAACAAAGCAUUCAACGCAUACUCCUAGGGAAAGGGUUGGUAGGUAUAAACCAUCGCGCGAUCCCGACCGCCACACAAAGGAUGACAAUCAAUAGACUAAUCAUGCUCAGACUUCAUCACAUAGCGGUUCACCAUACGUGCAUGCUACGGGAAUCACUAACUUCAACACAAGUAUUUCUAGAUCCACAACACCUUACUAAUACAACUUCAAUAUUACCACAACCACAACUCAGAACUAAUUGAAAUGAAUCAAACUUCUCUAACUAUUCAAUGCACAUGAAGGUGGAAGUUUUCAUAUCCCUUUGGAUAACUACCCAUUUUGAGACUAUUAUCAUAGCAUAGAUCAACUACCGAGCCACGCACUUCCGUGCUCUAAAAGAUAUAAGUGAANNNNNNNNNNNNNNNNNNNNNNNNNNNNNNNNNNNNNNNNNNNNNNNNNNNNNNNNNNNNNNNNNNNNNNNNNNNNNNNNNNNNNNNNNNNNNNNNNNNNNNNNNNNNNNNNNNNNNNNNNNNNNNNNNNNNNNNNNNNNNNNNNNNNNNNNNNNNNNNNNNNNNNNNNNNNNNNNNNNNNNNNNNNNNNNNNNNNNNNNNNNNNNNNNNNNNGAUAUAAGUGAAGCUCGACAAAAUCACGGUGAGUGCAUGUCUCUCUCUCUAGGUGUGCAAAAAGGAAGAUUGUGACACAACAAAAAUAAAAGGCUCAUACGAUACAAGACGCUCCAAGCAAAACACAUAACAUGUGGUGAAUAAAAAUAUAGCNNNNNNNNNNNNNNNNNNNNNNNNNNNNNNNNNNNNNNNNNNNNNNNNNNNNNNNNNNNNNNNNNNNNNNNNNNNNNNNNNNNNNNNNNNNNNNNNNNNNACACCCGUAAAGCUCCCGCCAUUGCACUGCAGCAGGCGCGCCUUCGGCGUCGUCGCCCCCCGUCCGAGCUGCUCCUCCUCCUCACCACACAGACGACGAUGAAGCCACGCCGGGAGCCGGCCCGCUAGGACCCAGAUGGGCCCCACAGGGCCCAGAUCUGGGCCGGGGGCGCGCCACCGACCAACCUGCGUCACCAUGCCGUCGCAUCGCCAAGGGGAAACACCACCACCUCGCGUGUCGCCGACCACUGCUGCCGGGUCACCGGACCGUCGUCGAACCGAGGAGCCCCGCCGCCGCNNNNNNNNNNNNNNNNNNNNNNNNNNNNNNNNNNNNNNNNNNNNNNNNNNNNNNNNNNNNNNNNNNNNNNNNNNNNNNNNNNNNNNNNNNNNNNNNNNNNNNNNNNNNNNNNNNNNNNNNCCGCCGCCGCCCCCAUGCCCCGGGCAGGGAGCCGCGCGCGCGGGGACAGGUAGUCCCGUCGCCGCCAACACCACCCGACCAAGCGCCGGGGACGACCGUCGGCGGCGGCAGGGAGGGAAGGAGGAGGAGGGAGGCCGAAGAGGGGCGGGGCUCGNGGGGGGAGGGGGGCGGGGACGGUCGGCGGCGGUGGUGGGAGGGAGAGAACCCUAGGAUGCGGGGGUCGCGGAGUCGCUCAGGAGAUCAGAAUCUAGCUAGUAUUACCAACANNNNNNNNNNNNNNNNNNNNNNNNNNNNNNNNNNNNNNNNNNNNNNNNNNNNNNNNNNNNNNNNNNNNNNNNNNNNNNNNNNNNNNNNNNNNNNNNNNNNGAGUUCAAAUAAGUUCAAAAAAAUGAAAUCCCUUUGUAACACAUGAGUUCUCGUUCGAAACCCUCAUACUUCGAGAGAGAUUGUCUGUUUCGUACACGAAGUGCAUCCAGUUUUUGUCGUCGCCCUCUCAACUUUUUAACACAUGCUAUGUGGGUGAAAUGAUGAUAGCAUGCCAACUUUCAACAUUUUCAGAGAUCAUUUGUAGUGCUUUCAAUUUUAGGGUCAACUAGCUCAAAAAAAAUAAGUAAAUGCACGAAAUAUACCAAAUUAAGUCAGAAAUUGUUGAAUUUUUGUGAUGUGCCUUUGAAUGGAGCAUUUUGAACACACAAAAAGUAUGGAGUUCAAAUAAGUUAAAAAAAUGAAAUCCCUUUGUAAGAGAUGAGUUCUCGUUCGAAACCCUGAUACUUCGAAAGAGAUUGUCCGUUUUGUACACGAAGUGCAUCCAGUUUUUGUCGUAGCCCUCUAAACUUUUUAACACAUGCUAUGUGGGUGAAAUUAUGAUAGCAUGCCAUCUUUCAACAUUUUCAGAGUUCAUUUGUAGUGCUUUUCAAUUUUAGGGUCAACUAGCUCAAAAAAAAUAAGUAAAUGCACGAAAAAUACCAAAUGAAGUCAGAAAUUGUUGAAAUUUUGUGAUGUGCCUUUUAAUGGUGCAUUUUGAACACACAAAAAGUAUGGAGUUCAAAUAAGUUCAAAAAAUUGAAAUCCCUUUGUAAGAGAUGAGUUCUCGUUCGAAACCCUCAUACUUCGAGAGAGAUUGUCUGUUUUGUACACGAAGUGCAUCCAGUUUUUAUCGUAGCCCUCUCAACUUUUUAACACAUGCUAUGUGGGUGAAAUGAUGGUAGCAUGCCAACUUUCAACAUUUUCAGAGUUCAUUUGUAGUGCUUUUCAAUUUUAGGGUCAACUAGCUCAAAAAAUAUAAGUAAAUGCACGAAAUAUACCAAAUUAAGUCAGAAAUUGUUGAAAUUUUGUGAUGUGCCUUUGAAUGGAGCAUUUCGAACACACAAAAAGUAUGGAUUUCAAAUAAGUUAAAAAAUGAAAUCCCUUUGUAAGAGAUGAGUUCUCGUUCGAAACCCUGAUACUUCGAGAGAGAUUGUCCGUUUUGUACACGAAGUGCAUCCAGUUUUUGUCGUAGCCCUCUCAACUUUUUAACACAUGCUAUGUGGGUGAAAUUAUGAUAUCAUGCCAACUUUCAACAUUUUCAGAGUUCAUUUGUAGUGCUUUUCAAUUUUAGGGUCAACUAGCUCAAAACAAAUAAGUAAAUGCACGAAAAAUACGAAAUGAAGUCAGAAAUUGUUGAAUUUUUGUGAUGUGCCUUUUAAUGGUGCAUUUUGAACACAAAAAAAGUAUCGAGUUCAAAUAAGUUCAAAAAAUUGAAAUCUCUUUGUAAGAGAUGAGUUCUCGUUCGAAACCCUCAUACUUCGAGAGAGAUUGUGUGUUUUGUACACGAAGUGCAUCCAGUUUUUAUCGUAGCCCUCUCAACUUUUUAGCACAUGCUAUGUGGGUGAAAUGAUGAUAGCAUGCCAACUUUCAACAUUUUCAGAGUUCAUUUGUAGUGUUUUUCAAUUUCAAGGUCAACUAGCCCAAAAAACAAAAGUAAAUGCACGAAGAAUACCAAAUUAAGUCAGAAAUUGUUGAAAAUUUGUGAUGUGCCUUUGAAUCGUGCAUUUUAAACGUACAAAAAGUAUGGAGUUCAAAUAAGUUAAAAAAAAUGAAAUCCCUUUCUAACAGAUGAGUUCUCGUUCGAAACCCUCAUACUUCGAGAGAGAUUGUCUGUUUUGUACACGAAGUGCAUCCAGUUUUUGUCGUAGCCCUCUCAACUUUUUNNNNNNNNNNNNNNNNNNNNNNNNNNNNNNNNNNNNNNNNNNNNNNNNNNNNNNNNNNNNNNNNNNNNNNNNNNNNNNNNNNNNNNNNNNNNNNNNNNNNCUUUGCUCAAGUUACCACUGCUCUCCUAGGUACAAAUCUGCCACUACUACCGUUACUAGUACUCUUACUUUGCUAUCACGAUUAUCAUAUUACUAUGCCACUCAUAAAUUGCUGCAAGGAAUUGAUUUUCGGGUGUGGUUGAAUUAAUAACUUAAUUUCUAAAGCUUAUAAAUAUUCUUUGGUUUCCCUUGUGUCAAAUCAAUAAAUUUAGAUGAAAUACUAAACCGUCGUACACAUCCACCACGGUUGUUGUGUUGCAUUCUUCCUCCACUGUGACAGCCUAGUGCCGCCGACUACCUCCCCAUGGCUACAUCAACGUCGCCAAGUACCUCUUAGAUGCCCGCCCAUCGCAGCCUCCCAUCAUUUCCGCCACUAGCAAUGUCCGCAAGAAGAGGCCCAUCGACCAUGAAUCCCCAAGAUAUAGAUAAAAGAGGAUCAGGAUUGCCACUGACUUAAUCACAAUGGCACACUUCACGAGAGAACAUGCACAUAUCAUUGAUGGCCGCUGUGGUAAGGCAUUGAACAGAUGGCGGCAGGAGGAUGCAAUGAGUACCUCUUCUAUGCGUAGGGAGGGCGACACGGCCAUGGUGAUAGAGAGAAACAAGGAGAGUGGGAGGGAGAGAGGGAGAGAGAGAAGUUACAUAGUCUAGAUUUUUCUAUUAAGUACAUGGGUAUUUAUAGAUUUUAUUACUUGCACAAAAUAUUUAAAAGAAUGCAUUUUGAAACAUGGGUCAACUUGAGAGCUCUCUAUCGAGAUAUUUAGGAUCUGAUUGGAUCGAGUUUAAUAUUUGUGCCCCACAGAAAUAUUAUGCCGAAUUCAAGCGGGCCCAUAGAGAAACCAAAAUAGACAAAAGCACCAAUAUAUAUUUGAAAUAUGCUCUUUUAAGAAAAUGAUCUACAAAUUUUCGGUAAAACUAAACAAAGUAGUAGAUAAUAUCUCGAAUAAAAACCACUAUAAAAAAACUUCUGUAAAUAUAUGCUUUAAAUUAUUGAAAUUGUAUAUUUAUUAACAAUUAUUGCCAAAUAAUAAUGAAAUAUUUUACCUUAUUAUUGGCUUGUAACAUUACAAAGUUGGUAUAUAUAAUAUAAAUAUUUACUAGCUAACAUGAUAUGUUAAAAAAAACUAAUUGUUAAUAGGAAGAAGUAAACAAGUUCAGUCUAAAUAAGUGAUAGUUGUGUGUCAAAAUGAUGUGAAAUAAGAGUGGAUGCAAAGGGGAAGAUAAAUAGUCACUUAAUUUGCUUAUGAUUAACCAAUCACUUCCAAUGAGAGAUGAACAGACUUAAAAGAAGAGAUGUAAAGGAGUGGACCUGUAACGUCCUAGAUGUGGUCUUAUCCUUAUUUUGGCGUGAGGGCCUCGAUAGGGAUAGAAACACAUCUCAUCGUUUCGCAAGAAUGGAUAUUGUUACAAGUACAUGUACUGAAAAGUUGAGUAUAAGUAUUUGGCUUACACUCGCCACAAGCUACAUCAAGAUCAUAUCAAUACAACAAUAUCUAGUCAUCAUGAAGAAGAGCAGGGUCCGACUAUGGAUGGAAACAAACGAUAAAAGAACGACGUCCAUCCUUGCUAUCCCACACUGCCGGCCUGAAGCCCAUCCUAGAUCGAAGAAGAAGAAGAANNNNNNNNNNNNNNNNNNNNNGAAGAAGAAGAAGAAAACUCCAAAUAACACAAUCAGCGCGCUUACGUCAAAGUAACUCUUUACUUGUACCUGCAACUGUUGUUGUAGUAAUCUAUGAGCUAUAGGGACUGAGCAAUCUCAUUUCCAAACGUAUCAAGACUAGCAAAGCUCAAUGGGUGAGGCAUGGUUAAGUGGUGAGGCUGCAGCAAGCGACUAAGCAUUUAUUUGAGGUGGCUAACUUACGAGUACGAGAAUAAAGAAGGGAAGUGAUCUACACAUAAUAGGACGUGAACUAAUAAUGAUCAAAUGAAUGAUCAUGAACGCCUACUUACGUCAGACAUAACCCCACCGUGUCCCUGAUCGGAGAAGGAGCUCACAAAAGAGACAGUCACGGUUACGCACUCAGUUGACAAGUUUUAAUUAAGUUAACUUCAAGUUAUCUAGAACCGGAUGUUAAACAAAGUUUUCAAGAUUGCCACAUAACCGCGGGCACGGCUUUCCGAAAGAUAUAACCCUGUAGGGGUGCUCCAACAAGUCCAUCACAAAUAACCACAAACCGCAUAGAAAGCCUCGAUCACGAAACUCGUGAUCUCCUCGGAUUCCUUAGUGGAAAACCUCAACUGUGAGAUAGCCCAAAGAAUCACUGGAAUCCCGAUGCACAAGAUAUUUCGUAAAUGGUAAAACAAAUCCAGCAAGGCCGCCCAACGUGUCGACGAACCCGAUAGAAGCCGCGUAUCUCGUUCUCAGGACACGACCGGAGGGGAAAGCCUACGAGUAAAACCAAACCUCGAGUUGCCCCGUGGUGACCCCACAGUUUGCCCUUUUUGGACAACACUCAUGAGGAG